rnacentral:tRNA from 1 species
GGCAGAGUAGUCCAGUGGAUAGGAUGCCCGAUUGGGAAUCAGGAGACUGAUUAAUUUCCCAGCUCUGCCA